rnacentral:lncRNA from 10 species
CUCAUUUUUCUACUGCUCGUGGAUUUACGCGCACGUUGGAACCGAAGAGAGCUCUGUUGUUGCAGUAAGUUCUUACGGCCAUUUCUUAAUCUCUGCUCUUUCGUUGAGUGUGUGGAAGUUGCUACGGGGAUGAUUUUACGAACUGAACUCUCUCUUUCUGAUGGAUUAGUGGAGAAAACAGAAAAUUCUGAGUAGCACUGUACUGUACGCAACAAAUGUCAGGGCCCUAUUGAUUUGUCUGAGGUGUUAGUGAAGGGUGUUAUUUUUUCAGAUGUUCAGCCCACAAGAGCUUACUGGUGAAGGAAUGGGACAAGACCCAUCUUUAUGCAAAGCCAGCGUUACAGUAAUGUUCCAGGUAGGUGUACAUGGUUUAUGCUCUUACAGAGGAGACCUUGUAGAUAACCACUCCAUGAUGAACACAAAAUGACAAGCAUAUGGCUGAACUUUCAAGUGAUGUCAUCUUACUACUGAGAAGUGAGAGAGAGGUCUUAAGGGGUCUUUGAAUGACUAUUUUUAGGUACAUAAAAUGCUUUCCUCUGUUGUCUACAGCAUCUCAUAAUCUAUCCUGGGGAAUUCAGCUGCCUCCCAGGGUGAAUACAGGUAUUCCUGAUGACAGUCUGCCUCUAUCUUACAGUAAGUUGUUUUUCGAAUUCUAUGGGCCUAUUAUCUAAUAGAUAACUUAGCCAUUUUGAUAUUUGUUACCAAAGCCUGCUUAACCCAUAAAGUUUUCUGGUUCCUCUUGUUCUCUGUAGUGAUGUUUCUAGAUAGAUGCCCACUGAUAUAUGCCCCUUUUUUCUCAGAUAGAUGCCCACUGAUCUGCCCAGGGUCAGACGAAUGCUUGUCAGUUGUAGCUUUCCAGGAUUCUGCUCCAAUGAGGAGGAAACAUCCUGCCUUACCCCUGUUUUAGCCUGGGAACCAGUAAUUGUGAACUCACCAGGGUUAACAUGAAGAGGGCAUGAGAGCUUAUUCCAUAAGGAAUUGUCUGAGACAUUUGGUUACCUUUUCUUAGUUUGUCCAUUAGCAACCGUAACUAAAAUAGUUUUGGCUGUUUGGGAUAAUUAGCUAAUUGAAUGAUUUUUUGAUUCAGGAGCAGCUUGUUGCUAUAUACCAUUGAAAAGCCUUCAGAGCUGAGAGGUUAGUUGAUAUUUUUUGUUCCUUACAGCUUAUGCCACCAAGUAGGCAGUUUCUAUGAUGAAUCAAACUAGCUCACUAUGACCGACAGUGAAAAUACAUGAACACCUGAGAAACUGGAGAACGCAGGGAGUGGGGGGUAACCAUGUCUGAGGAAUCUUUCACCCACAGCUUUGUUUUUCUCUAGGUACUACUAACCAAUAACCUGCUUGGCUCAAAGGGCCAGCACCUUCUCUCUAAAGCCCAAGAGGAGUUUGAGGAAAACUAGGUGUCUGUGUUCACUCCAGGCUGAAGUUACAGGUGAGUAAACCUAAAUGUAAGGUGGACUAUGCUAAAAAUUCCCAAUGAAGAAACUUUCACAUGUCUUACUCUCUGUCCUAGUCCCAGAGCCUGUAAAGGUGAACCCACUGGGACUGGCUGGGGGAGAAGAGGAAGAUUUGUUCCAGAAGGAACUGUCUGAGGGAUGAUAAAGAUUUCUAUACAGAGAAAGGGAGUAAUCAUCACUUGUUGAAAACAUUGGUUUUAUUUUUUCCAGGUCUGAGCAAAUAAGGUGUAUAAAAAAUGGAAUCUGUCUUGGAGGACAUCAGAAGGUGAAUUUUCCAAGUUCUUGGACAACCUAGCUGUUGAAAAGCUUUCUGGGUUUGGGGGGUAUUUCAGAUGUACCUUAAAGUGUUAGCAGACACAGAUUAAGACACUGGGAGCCAAUGAAACAGCAGUUGAGGGUUUGCUGUGUAUCACAUUUCUGUAUUUUAUCACCCCCUUCCUGCAACAUUAUUUAUCUGGAAUCUACCUGCCCUUUUGUUUUUUAGAUACAAGGGCUUGGUUUUGUUACCCAGGCUGGUUUCAAGGCCAUAGCUUUAAGAGAUCCUCUCACCACAGAUUUCCAAAGUGCUGGGAUUGCAGGUGUGAUUCAUGGCACCCAGACUUUGCUGCCUUUCUUACAUGAUCCAGGCCCAGAACCCAAACUCAGGCACUGUAUAGAUGACCACUUUCGUAAACUACUGACCUAGCUUGUUGCCAAUUGUUGAUUGAACUUCCCAUAACUCCACUUCGUGUCUGUUCCUCUGUAUACAGCCACCUUCUGUUCCCGUCAUGAGCCUUUAGGUCUCCAUUUGCAUAUUGCAAAUACUAUGUUCCAUGUAGGUAGCUCAUUCAGGGCCUUGCUCUUCACUUCAAAAAAGGUUCCCUUGAGGACUGGCUGUCAAUUUGUGUUGCUGUGUUGGUUGUUGAUGAAAAUAAUAAAAUGAUUGAUUACAUAGUCCUGUUUACUUUUUUUGUGUGUAUGUGUCUCUUAGCAUCAGUGUGUAAAUUUCCAUGGGAAACUGGCUUUCCUCUCAUGCUCCCUGAAGUACCUGGAACUUGAAGGGACAUC